CCCAAAACGCCGGAUCUGUGUGGACGAAACAACUAUACGAUACAAAAUGUAUGCGUAUACAGUGAAACGCGUCUCCUGUGGAUGGGGCCUUGAAGUGCAUAAGGCAGUAGCAAUGAAGAAAAAUGAAAUGAAAAUCCCAGCAAUAACUUUGCUAGGUCAAAGAUUUCCGUGGACAGCAAAUUAAUCCGUGAUUUCUUCUGAGCGCGAUUCUGACAUCCCUCCCCCUCUCCACCGGAAAAACUUGAAGAAUCACGAACGUAUAUAAGCGGCAGGUUUAUUAGGAAAAAAUAUAAACGUUU